GGCUGGAUAGCUCAGUUGGGUACAGCAUGGUGCUGAUAACACCAUGGUUGCAGGUGUGAUCCCCGUAUGGGACA